ACUAAAGUGAGUAAGAAAUGACUCCAUUUAACGAUAUAGAGAAGAUUAGCAUGGUCCUUGUGUGAGGAUAACAUGCAAAUUUGUGAAACAUUCCAUAUUUUU